GAUGAAGAACGCAGCGAAAUGCGAUAAGUAGUGUGAAUUGCAGAAUUCAGUGAAUCAUCGAAUCUUUGAACGCACAUUGCGCCUCCUGGCAUUCCGGGAGGCAUGCCUGUUCGAGCGUCAUCAAACCCCAUCGUGCAAAUGAAUUAUUUUUUUUGCGCGGAAGUGACGAUUGAGCGAGAAUAACAAAUCCUCUCGCACCUCGUCGAAAUGAUUGCGGGCGGAAUUUGGGAUCGGGUUCCUCGGCGUAGUGUAUCAAUGCAUAUUUAUGCAACUUGCCGCGGAGUUGAGCCUGACCCACGCGUUCUCGCCGUAUAAACACCUCAUUACUUUACAAGUUUUUGACCUCGGAUCAGGUAGGGAUACCCGCUGAACUUAAGCAUAUCAAUAAGCGGAGGA
rnacentral:misc_RNA from 1 species